rnacentral:rRNA from 1 species
UACGGGGGGGGGCAAGCGUUGUUCGGAAUUACUGGGCGUAAAGGGUGCGUAGUCGGCUUUCUAAGUUGGAUGUGAAAACUAUGGGCUCAACCCAUAGCCUGCAUCCAAAACUGGAGAGCUUGGGUUCUGGAGGGGAAAGCGGAAUUCCUGGUGUAGCGGUGAAAUGCGUAGAUAUCAGGAGGAACACCGGUGGCGAAGGCGGCUUUCUGGACAGACACCGACGCUGAGGCACGAAAGCUAGGGGAGCAAACAGG